rnacentral:lncRNA from 1 species
AAAUGGAUAUUUUCGCUUUGAGAUUCCCUUUUUUUCCAGAAAGUGCCUAUUUUGUUGGUGCCCCCCCCCACUUUGGAAGACGCUCCGCCACUCCUGGGGGGACACAUCAGUCAAAAGCGCGCACAGGGGGGGGGGGGGUUGAAGGGUAAUGUGCCCCCCUCCGAAGCUGAAUUUUUUAACCUGGAUUUUGUCAAACUCCCAAUAGAUAAAUAUCAUUCACAAUUCUCUUCAAGCAGUACGUGUUACUUCACCUUGCAAGCAGUAUGUUUAAUUUUUUAAUCACCUUGUAUAUUAGGCCCUGUAUUUCAGCUCAAAUUGUUUAGUGAUUGUGGACAGGCGAAGCAGGAAAAUAGAAAAUUUGGCCUUCAUACACACAACCACACCAGUGACACCAUGAAACAGAAACACUAUUACAAUGAUUACCGGUACUGAAACAUAGUUUUCAAACUACCGAGGAGAGGUAACCAGGAACCAAGGUAUAAUACAAUGAUGCAAUUUUACCCAUGUUGUAGUAGUACAUGGUAGUAGUAUGGAUAUCCCGCCUCUUCUUUUAUGCACAUCCUUUCCACUGCUAUCGCAAGUUUUAAAAAAGGGCCCAAUGUCUGCAUAACUAAGCAAGGUAGGAGUUCAUUAAAAACAUGAUGUAAAACAUUAAGUAUAUCACACUAAAGCAUCUCAAUCUGACAGCACGAUGUGGAGAAAAGUUAAUGGUGUAGAUAAAUACACAACAAAUAUGUUCAUCGGCAGUCUAAGUCAAGCAAUCAUUUAUAAAACUGAGGCUUUGCCAAGGCAUCCAUUUUAAGUAUGUGUCUAUAGGGCAUUUAAGGUGUAGUCAAGUACUCAAGUUACCACCUGUCAGCCAAGAUCAAACUUUUGGAAUAUAAGAGUUUUGGGGAGGGGUCAUCUUUUAUCAAUUUCUGUUUAUUGAUAAUAAUUAUAACAUUUGGGAAUGGGCCUAUGAGUCUGAUAUACCUUGGUGCGUGUGUGGACCACGGAGUAACCAUCACACUAAAGGAUGUUAUAUACUAUUGUACAGUAUUAUUGUUUCUCUGGAAAAAAUUGCAGUCAUUGAGUCAUAGGUAUUUUUUUUUUUUUAAAGAAAUGUUUUUAUAAUGUGUUUUAUAAUGAAGGAUGAAGGUCAUGAUACAAUACAUUCCCUGGAGAAAAAAAUAGUGCUCAGAUUUAGCCUAAGUAUGCUUUGUUGAAUUUUUAAAGAAAAAAGUAAUCUACAAAUGGAAGUAGCAGAUGAGGUCAUUUGUGCUUAAUAUUUGACCAUCAAUGUUAUAAUCUGAAAACAUAUUAGUUUGUUGUAAUAAAAUGAAUAAAUUAAACAUGUUUAUUAUCU